GCAACUCGCCUACAUGAAGUCGGAGUUGCUAGUAAUCGCGGAUCAGAAUGCCGCGGUGAAUGCGUUCCCGGGUCUUGUACGCACCGCCCGUCACACCAUGGAAGUUGGGGGCGCCCGAAGUUGCCUAAGAAAUAAGGUACCUAAGGCGAAACCAAUGACUGGGGUGAAGUCGUAACAAGGUAAC
rnacentral:rRNA from 1 species